CACAGCCCAGCCCUGGGAGACGUGGCAGCGCGGAGCCGCAGAGAGGCACCGCACCGGUUUCACGGAGCUUCACGUUCCCUUUUAUUUUCCCUCAUAUGCAGUGACGCGGUCAGUUCACAAAGGAAAUUCACACCGUGUGAGCUCCGUGCAGCCCACAGGGGCGAUUCACAGCCGGGAGUGCUCCGCGUGCUUCUUCCGCACGUUUCUCAGCUCCCCGCUCCUGCGCUGUCUCCAUCUGCUUUCCGCUGCUUUUCUCCGUCGGCUGUGCCCUGUGUUCUUUUCGCAGCUCCUCGUGCACUCCAGCAGUCAGUUUGGAAAUAUGUGUGACUUUAAACGUGUCUUAGUGAUGGACUUUGGCUGCAAUUGCUUACAGUGUUGGUGGUGUUCAGGUUUGUUCUGUUUUUAAUCUAAAAUAAGUGCCUGUCUGUGGAGCUGGGGAUGUUCCAUGGGAGCAAUUCUGCAGGGAGCACAUGCAGCCUGUGUGAGUCAGUGCUGUGUUUCCUUAAAAAAGUGCAAAACUGAAAGGUCAUCAAAUCUUAAAGAAAGAAAAAUCAAACUUAAAAUCGCAAGGAACAAAAGCAUCACUUUGGGGAAGACGUGCUCGCUCCGGGCCUCUGCUCUGGUUUUGAUGUAAUGCUCCACAGAAUCGGCGAAUGCGAACUUCUCCGGGCUGUAGCCCAGCUGCCUGCGGGCCUUGUCGAUGCUGAAGGUGUGCGUUGUGGAGACGUUCUGCACCUGUCAGCAAAGGAGCCAACACACAAAGUGAGUGUGCCGAGAGUCCAAAGAAGCAGUAAAGGCUGCACAGCACGAUUUACUCCUGAAAACAUCCACAAAGUGUUCUGCACUCCUAUGUAUGUAAGGACACAGUAAAAGUCAUCCCUAGGGUGCCUGAAGGGUCUUCAAACCUUAGGUCCCAGCUGUACUCAUAUGAUAGCCACUGUUAACAGAAGAAUGCCCAAGCAAUGAGGAUGAUGGCUAUCCAAAGGAGGACCCUGCUUCAGAAAGUCCUUUUGUCUCACUAUGUAGUUCUUCUCGGGAGUGAGAGCUUCAGCAGCCAGAAUUUGAGCUUGUACAAGGUUCUCUACGUGCACCCAGUUCAUUUUAGCAGAAGGAUCCCCAAACUUGAAGUUAAGUAUCCCUCUUUCAAUAUUCCUCUAUAGACAUAAAACAAACAUGAAACCAAAGCAAGAAAUAAGACUGGAAAUAUGUGUUGCUCUAUCUCCUUUCAUCAGUAUUUUGGUUUAAGUUGUAUGCAAGCAGAUUUUUGAAAUAUCAUAGAAUGGCCUGACUUUUAUAAUUACAGUAAGCAUUACAUUGUAAAGCUGGACUUCCAUGUGUUUGUAUUUAAAAAGAGGCUUUUUUAAUGUAUUAUGCAUUCUUUGUAGAUGUCAUACAGUGUCUGACCAAAAAAAGUUGCAAUAUCAUCAACAGACAAUCGAACUGUUCAACUGAUGCCAGAUCAGAAGGUUGGUCAGUCUGUAAUACACAUAAGUGAUGCUGUUCAGUACCCCAGAAAAUGCUGCUGAUUAGAAAAUGGAAGUACAUACUGCUAGCCUUGGCAGAUGUCUUUGCUCCUCUGGUCCAUAAAUUCCUGGCGGGCGAAGAACACAUGUAUGCAGUGCUCCACCUCCUGGGAAAAUUGAGACAACGAUUCAAACCACGUGAGCUUCACACGACUUACGUUAUCACCGCAUGAGCUGAAGAAUGCUGUAGCAUAACUUACUCUAAAUUAAAUUUGCUUCACCAGCUUAAAAAGACCACACACCAGAAAGUGCUGAACUAGUAGAUGAAUAUUGGCAAAUCAAACCAUGCAAAAUAACAAGACAGGAUUCAAAAAAUCCUGCCAGCAAUAUUCCAUAGGGGCAGGGAGGGACUCAGAGGUCUUUAAAGGUUCCUUCCAGCCCAAACCAUUCUAAGAGCUCUCAAAGCAUUGGCAUAGCUAAAUUCCUAGAAUUUACUAGAUAUUUCCAAACUUCUAACCAACCAGUCCUUUAUCUCUGUGCCAAAGCAGUCGGUGAGAGUGCCAGCUGUGGGGAUGAAUUUGCUGAAGUGAGCAAGUCAUUAGUGAGAAUGUGGAAUGAAAGCAAACUGAUCUCUUAGAAAAUUAUUGCAGGGAAACAGUAUCUCACUGUGUGUGCAAGAUGGAGCUGAAAGGCUCUCAGUAGUAGGCACAGCCUGCUCCCACUAGAACUGCUGUGGAACCUCUUGAGAACCUCAGUGGGAGAAAGUAAGGGCCACUGUAAAAAUCCAGUGAUUCCCAAGUGUAGCAGUUGACUGGUUUGUCAUCUUCUGUUCUUAAUAACUCUUCCUAAUAUUACUUGAAAACCUGCAAAAUACUCAUUCAUGCUGAGAGCACAGGAUCUAAUUGAGAUGUUUGGAACAGUGGCUGGCUAAAAUCCCAAUGAAUUGCUUUGAUCCUUUGCACAGGUAAAUUAGUGUGAGUUUCAUUGAGAAAUGCACAACUAUCUAUACUGCUCCCAAAAUCAGAGCAUCUUUGAUAUGUUGAGCUGCUAAGAAAGGAGAAAAUAAGAAAAAAAGCUUUUUGGACAAAAUAAUUCUAUGGCUGUGAAAUGCCAGUCAAUGACUUGAUAUCUGUUUAUAGCUCUCUGCAAGUAUCAGGUGCAGAAAGUCUUUUUUCUAAGUUGCCCACAGCUAAAUUGAGCCCUGUGUCACUCGUUGGCAGGGCGUCACGUUGCACUUUACAUUAAUUUGCUUUGUGCAGGCAGCUACAGUAUCUCACAGGUGAGCUUAAGUAUUCAAGUGUACAACUGCCUUCCUCAACACGGAAAACUUUGGGAAGCACUAAUAAAUAAUUCCAGGCUGUAGUAUCAGGUGCCUUAUUCAGAUUUUAAUAUAUAAGGGAAGGGGAGAACAAUUUCAUCAGCAUUCAUGUUCUACUUAUGCUGCAUAUUGCAGCGACAUAAACACAUUACUGUUUAAUUUAUUGCUGUCUUAAUCUUUUCAAUGAAGAUGCUGAACUCACUGCUGCCAUGCCAAGACCUUCUCUUGGCACUGUGAGAACUACAAUUAAAAGUGAUUUUUAAGAGAAAAUCCUUCAGUCUGUGAGAAGGGGAAGUAACUUGAUUUCUUAACUGCUGGACACUCUUGUCUACUGAAUGACUGAUACAGGAUGCAGGAUGUUAGUGAGGCAAGGGAAGAAGAGGAGUACAUUUUACUAUGAACUGCUAACAGAAAAGUACCUGCUAGUGGAGUUCCAUUAGCUGCUAGUACCAUUUGUUCUGCAAUUGAUUUGGUUCUGGAAUAAUGAUCAACAUGCUACAGAGAAAAAGCAGACAGGUUUGUAUCUAUUCUUGACAUGGCAUAACAGAGAGGCAUUGCUUCUCUACUCCCUUCUUACAUAGCAGAUGACAACAAACACCUCACAAUAUGGAAGUUUUGGGAUACUGGUUUAGGAUAAAAUAUGUGCAGAUUGUUAAGGCAAGCAAACAUUUUUGUUUAUGCAAACCCAGUUAAUUAAUUUCAGCCCAUUUGAGAAGUAAUAAAUAUAUGUAUGCUUUAAUGCUGCCAAGAAUGUAAUUGAUCAGUACUUAGUAAUCUGGAUUUCUUUUUCAGGUAACGGAAAAAUCAGGAGCCAACUUUUUAAGACAUCAGGACUGGUCUGUAUUCUAGAGUUUGUUCUCUUGUUGCACUGCCUCAGAGAAAAUAGUAUUUGAUAUAUUGUAUUAUUCAAAAUGCCAGGCUUUUUUUGGGGGGGGGGUGGAGGGGGGAAAGAAGAAUGUAAACAAAGAAGAAAAGUGAAAAAAUAAUACAACCCAAAUACCUUUUCUAUAGGAAAAUAUGGCACAGUUUCCUCAUCACCAUCUUCAAUAGGAAGCCCUCCAAACACCACAUUCACUGUACUGGUGUAUAUCAAUCUAGUGACGUUCCUUUGUUUGCAAGCUGCAGCAAUAUAUAAAGUAAAGUAGUUCAGUGGAAGCUUGAACAAAAUAGAAAAAAACCUGUAUGAAAGGGAGGUGUGCUUCUUGAGAGAAACUUGUUAGAUUUUCUGGCAAAUCUUAGAAGAGCAAAUCCAUUUUAUUAUUGGAUUAUUUAAGACACAAAGUAUAUGGAAGACAACAGUUAAAUAGAAAAUAUCUGUUCAGAACCAAGUGCUUUAUUAUUCUGCAUCUCCUAAUUUAGGUAAUGUAAGCUAACAGUUUGCCUUUGGGCUGGCUGCUACCAGCCUGGUGAGAGGGCUGCAGCCCCAGCCGGGUAGGUAGCUGGAAGACUUUCUGUUCCAAGGGCUGCCCACGACCUGCGCACACACUGUAAUGCAGCAGUGAGGCUUACAGCAUGGAAAGCUGUUCAUGUCUUACAUGCAUACAGACUCUGCCAUAAUGUCAGACAUGAUUAUGACAAGCUGAAGUAGUUGAACUGUAGUGCUGACACUAAUAUCUUGCCCCAGGUAUGAAAAGACCAUUGACAUGUUUCCUCAUCUUCUGUCAAAACUGUGAUGUAUUUGGUAAAAAAAAGCAGUUCAUGACAA